GCCUUCGUGGGGCAGGCUCUUCCUUCAAAUUGAGCGUAAUGUCAAGAUUUUGGGAGAGCCGGUGGUUCGAGUCCACCCGGAGGCA